UACGUAGGGCGCAAGCGUUGUCCGGAAUUAUUGGGCGUAAAGAGCUCGUAGGCGGUGUGUCGCGUCGGCCGUGAAAACUUGCAGCUUAACUGUGGGCGUGCGGUCGAUACGGGCAUCACUGGAGUUCGGCAGGGGAGACUGGAAUUCCUGGUGUAGCGGUGAAAUGCGCAGAUAUCAGGAGGAACACCGGUGGCGAAGGCGGUUCUCUGGGCCUGUACUGACGCUGGAGGAACGAAAAGCGUGGGGAGCGAACAGG
rnacentral:rRNA from 1 species